GGUAAAUGCGAGACAGGAGCAGGCGGAAUAAGAGGGGUGCAAGGGUGUAUCGGAAUUAGUAGGCGUAAAGGGCAGGUAGGUGGGCCGAUAAGGCUGUUGUGAAAGCUCCCGGCUUAACUGGGAGAGGCCAACGGAUACUGUCGGGCUUGAGUAUAGGGGAGGUGACUGGAAUUCCCGGUGUAGCGGUGAAAUGCGCAGAGAUCGGGAGGAACACCAAUGGCGAAAGCAGGUAACUGGACUAUUACUGACACUCAACUGCGAAAGCUAGGGGAGCAAACAGGAUUAGAUACCCCGGUAGUC
rnacentral:rRNA from 1 species